rnacentral:rRNA from 1 species
AACGAACGCUGGCGGCAGGCUUAACACAUGCAAGUCGAACGCAUCCUUCGGGGUGAGUGGCAGACGGGUGAGUAACGCGUGGGAACGUGCCCUUCAGUUCGGGAUAACCCAGGGAAACUUGGGCUAAUACCGGAUACGUGCGAGAGCAGAAAGAUUUAUCGAUGAAGGAUCGGCCCGCAGCUGAUUAGCUAGUUGGUGGGGUAAUGGCCCACCAAGGCGACGAUCAGUAGCUGGUCUGAGAGGAUGAUCAGCAACAUUGGGACUGAGACACGGCCCAGACUCCUACGGGAGGCAGCUGUGGGGAAUAUUGGACAAGGGGCGCAAGCCUGAUCCAGCCAUGCCGCGUGAGUGAUGAAGGCCUUAGGGUUGUAAAGCUCUUUCGUCCGGGGCGAUAAUGACGGUACCGGAAGAAGAAGCCCCGGCUAACUUCGUGCCAGCCGCCGCAGUAAGAC